ensembl:lincRNA
CAGAAUCCCUGCCAGCCAGAAGAGCUGAGAAACUGAGCUCCGCCCAUAGCUGGGUGCGUUCUUUGUGACCUCUGCUUACCUGUUAGUAAAAUAGAUGCACAUGCAAGGCGCACCUGCUGCCCAGGCCGUGCAUCUCUUCCAGGGUGACAGCCUGGUAAGAAAGCAGACUUACGCACACAGGAUGGAAGGCAGCAGCGAAAAGCCCAGUGUGUUCUGCGUGCUACCUAACAUAGGCUUUGGCAAGAGAGGACCCAGAUGACUUCCGGCUCCUAUGGUGUAAUGAAGUAACAGCUGCCUUCGAGUUCUGAGGGAGAAGCCCACACCUUGUGCUCUUACCACUUGAUGGCAAAUGACACGCGUGCUCGGGACCUGCCUGCUGGGCCGCUCAGCGGAGGUCUCCCUGAGCCCCGGCACACACAGUCAGGCUGCCUGCACAGGGUACCUAGUGGUUCCGUUAGUGAGAGCGAUGAGCGCCUUAUUAAUAUCAGCUCCCUAAAAUGCUGCUACUUGGUGUUCAAGAAGCUGCUUGCCAAUAUUUUGCGAAUCACUGAAACCUCAAUGAUUUCACUUACUAAGUUGCCGCUGAUAAUCGAGGUGAGACUGCCGGGUAUUUUGCGCAAAUUACUUCAUUCAGAGAUGAGUGGGAUGAGAAUGGGCGUAGUCUAAAUCACAUUAUGGACAUCGUGUGGUUUAAAACUAUCAAGGCCAAGCCCAGAAAUGUCUCAGAGGCUUUGGCUAAAGGAGCACCAGAAACUAUGUGCUCCUCAUAAGGGUGUAUUAUUUCAAAAAGAUUUCAGAGGAGCAGGCAUUCUCCCCACACUUGGACCUCUUCCUGCUUUUUCUUGGAGCCAGUAUUUCCUGGCAGACUUGGAUAGAACAAAACCAGGAAGCUCUAAGCAGCAUGGAACUCUCAGGUGUGGCCUUCAAGUUUCUCCUGCACCUCCCAGGAAGCAUUCGCAGGAGCGCAUUGAAACUGGAUGCGGUUAGUAGAGGGUACAAGGGGCUUUAGCACCGUCUCUCUGCCCCUUUUGUCUUAUCCAGGCUACUUAGGGUGGGGAGCACACACACCCUAAUCCUAGUGCCCUUGACCCCAGGAUUACACUAUCAACUAAUUUUAGCAUCUAAAUCCAGCCACUUCUGGAAAAGCACCACCUAUGACCGCAUGAGGCUUUGGGGGGACAUCCAGACACAGACAUAACAACAUUGCACCUAGAAACUAUAAUGUUAAAUAAACAAGAUACGCAAGCUUGAAUAUUGCAAAGUUUCUCUUACAUGAGAAACCCAAAGUAUAAAUAAAUGGAAGAGCAAAGCAGAAGAUAGAUGAUAGGAAACAGGGUGAUAGAUCUUUUGCAAAUGGGAAGGAGACCAACAGAUAAAGGGAGGGAGAAGAUGAAGGGAGCAUAAAAAGAAUUCAGUUGGAUCAGGUACACGUACCAACUACCCAUGAUGAACGUAGUCAUUACGUAUCAUAAACGUACUAGUAAAGCCUGGUGUAGGCGUGGUGGCGCAUGCCUGUAAAUCCCAGCACUCAGGAGGCUGAGGCAGGAGUAUUGCUGAGUUCGAGACCAGCCUGGGCUACAUAGUGAGUUCCAGGUCAGUCUCAACAAGAUAGACCCUGUCUCAAAAAACCAAAAAAAAAAAAAAAAAAAAAACUAAUACAUUUUUUUUUUUUUUUUUAGAAAAGAAGGAAAUUUUGUCACAUGCUGCCGCAUGGAUGAAACUUAUGAUGUUACACUCAAUGAAAUAUGCCGGUAAAAGAAAAUAAGACAAAUACUGUAUGAGUUUAUUCAUAGGCGGUAUCCAAAGUAGUUAAAUUCAUAACAACAGAAAGUAGAAUGUGGUCUCUAAGGACCGGAAGGAGGGAAAAGUGAAGUUUUAGCGAAAGUGAAAAGUGUUAGUGAGUUUCAGUUUUGCAAGAUAAAAAAGUUCCAGAUAUCUGCUGUACAGUGAGCAUACUAAGCGCUACUGAACUGUGCAGCUUAAAAUGGUUAACAUGGUAAAUUUUGUUCUAUGCUUUUACAAUAAAAAGUGCUAUUGUUCCUUCACCCUGAACUUGGGAGUAGUGAUGAACUCAGCAAGGGGUCUGGAAAAGACAUUAAUGUAACCCUGAUUAAAGAUUCUUCAGCUACAAAUACUUGCACUGGAGUUGACCAAUUUGUUGAAAGCCUGCCAGAAUCUCCCUCCCACUUCCCUCCUGGACUGCUCCACUGCCUUGAGAGUUACUAGGAAUAACCUGGAAGUUUCUCGAAAGUCUCUGAAUUCAGAUAUGGGAGAAAGUGGCAAAAGUAAAGAAACUUAACCAACCAACUUAGCAGAAGUGCUUAAUGUGGAGAAGGUGAUUCUGCUGGACGAUGGUUUCCUGGAGUAAUCUAGCUGUGUCUUUCUCCCACAUGCCUAGAAACUGUAAAGAUUUUUCUUCCUGAAAGAAAUAAUAAUAAAACAGAUUCAACACAUUUUCUCAUGCAACAAGAAAGAAGUCACAGAACAUAAGGGACUUACUACCCAAAAUUCUCCAAAGAAGCCAUUGGAAAGCUAGAUAUAGGAUUCCUAGUCUUGGUGGUGAUUUUACAGAGAUUUGUUCCUGAUACAAUAUGACAGAAGAGGCCAAUAUUAAAGUUCACCCACACUGGAGAAAACUAGAACGAUCCCAGUUGAAAUAAAAACAGAGGAAGCUGGAUAGUGGAAUGUCACUUUCCUUCUCCGUGCUCCAGUCCUACCCCUGAGCCCCC